AGUGAACGCUGGCGGUAGGCCUAACACAUGCAAGUCGAACGGCAGCACAGUAAGAGCUUGCUCUUACGGGUGGCGAGUGGCGGACGGGUGAGGAAUACAUCGGAAUCUACUUUUUCGUGGGGGAUAACGUAGGGAAACUUACGCUAAUACCGCAUACGACCUACGGGUGAAAGCAGGGGAACUUCGGACCUUGCGCGAUUGAAUGAGCCGAUGUCGGAUUAGCUAGUUGGCGGGGUAAAGGCCAACCAAGGCGACGAUCCGUAGCUGGUCUGAGAGGAUGGUCAGCCACACUGGAACUGGAACACGGUCCAGACUCCUACGGGAGGCAGCAGUGGGGUAUAUUGGACAAUGGUCGCAAGCCUGAUCCAGCCAUACCGCGUGUGUGAAGAAGGCCUUCGGGUUGUAAAGCCCUUUUGUUGGGAAAGAAAAGCAGCAGGUUAAUACCCCGCUGUUCUGACGGUACCCAAAGAAUAAGCACCGGCUAACUUCGUG
rnacentral:rRNA from 1 species